UGGUCUCGUGGCCUAGUUGGUUAUGGCAUCUCGUUUACACCGAGAAGGUCCUCGGUUCGAGCCCGAGCGGGACC